rnacentral:tRNA from 1 species
GAGGCGGUAGUGGAGGGUGCCGUUCCGCGGCAGCGAGCCGCGGUAGGUGGCGCCGGCCUCCAGGAGCCCGGCGUCCGAGGUGCCCCCGGUCCCC